CCUACGGGAGGCAGCAGUGGGGAAUAUUGCACAAUGGGGGAAACCCUGAUGCAGCGACGCCGCGUGAGUGAAGAAGGACUUCGGUAUGUAAAGCUCUAUCAGCGGGGAAGAAAAUGACGGUACCUGAGUAAGAAGCCCCGGCUAACUACGUGCCAGCAGCCGCGGUAAUACGUAGGGGGCAAGCGUUAUCCGGAUUUACUGGGGGGAAAGUGAGCGUAGACGGCAGUGUAAGUCUGGAGUGAAAGGCGGGGGCUCAACCCACGGACUGCUCUGGAAACUGGACGGCUGGAGUGCAGGAGAGGUAAGUGGAAUUCCUAGUGUAGCGGUGAAAUGCGUAGAUAUUAGGAGGAACACCAGUGGCGAAGGCGGCUUACUGGACUGUAACUGACGUUGAGGCGCGAAAGCGUGGGGAGCAAACAGGAUUAGAUACCCGAGUAGUC
rnacentral:rRNA from 1 species